AAUUAAAUAUUGUAGAAACUAGUGAUACAUACAAAUAUAACAACAGAACCGGUAUAAUUUUUCAACAUUUUCUGAUAACUUUUUUGAAAUCUAGUUCUUAAAGUUUAAAAUGGAACCAACAAAUUUAUGCACAACUGAUGAUACAUCCUACUUAUCAAAGAGAUGGAGUAACUUACGGAAAAUUCUUGAGAGGCCUGGGCCGUUUUGCCAUUCCUCUUAUGAAGCAUCACCUGAGAAUUUAGAGUUUCUACAAACUUCCUGCAAAAUACUGAUUAUAGGUGCUGGCGGUUUAGGAUGUGAAUUGUUAAAAGAUUUAGCUUUGAUGGGUUUUCGUGAUAUUCAUGUCAUUGAUAUGGAUACUAUAGAGUUGUCUAAUUUGAAUCGUCAAUUUUUAUUCAGAAGGAAAGACAUUGGUUAUUCAAAAGCCGAAGUUGCUGCAAAGUUUAUAAAUUCCAGAAUUCACGGAUGCAAAGUAACAGCUCAUUUUUGUAAAAUUCAAGAUUAUGAUGAAAAUUUUUACAGAAAUUUUCAUAUUGUCGUUUGUGGAUUAGAUUCAAUAGAUGCUAGACGAUGGAUUAACGGAAUGUUACUCUCUCUGGUUUGUUAUGAUGAAAAUGGUGCGGUGGAUCAAUCUACUAUUGUUCCAAUGGUUGAUGGUGGGACUGAGGGUUUCAAAGGGAACGCUCGUGUUAUUUUACCCGGCAUUACUGCUUGUAUUGAAUGUACGUUAGAUCUUUUCCCUCCUCAAGUAACAUAUCCACUUUGCACCAUUGCAAAUACUCCAAGGUUACCGGAACAUUGCAUUGAAUUUGUUAAAAUAAUACAGUGGGAAAAAGAAAAUCCCUUUGGAACAGCAUUAGAUGGAGACGAUCCUGUACACGUCACUUGGGUAUACGAAAAAGCUAUAGAGAGGGCGAAUCAAUAUAAUAUCACGGGAUUGUCCUACAGAUUAGUGCAUGGUGUUGUCAAAAAUAUUAUACCAGCUGUUGCCAGUACCAAUGCAAUCAUAGCAGCAGCAUGCUCUACUGAGGUAUUUAAACUUGCAACAAGCUGCUACGACGUUAUGAAUAAUUACAUGGUUUUUAAUGAUCUUGAUGGAAUUUAUACUUAUACAUACGAAGCUGAGAAAAAAGAAGAUUGCUUAGCUUGCAGUAACAUCCCAAAAGUUGUAGAUGUGGAAGAUCCAAAUACAAUGACCUUAGAAGAUUUCAUAAAGUUUCUUUGCGAGAGUAAUGAGUUUCGAAUGAAAAAUCCAGGUAUAACAGCUUUUAUAGAAGGGAAAAAUAAGACACUAUAUAUGUCCACGGUCAAAAGUAUAGAAGAACGAACUCGACCAAAUUUAGUAUUAUCGCUUGGUGAACUAGGACUAAAAGAUGGACAAGAACUUAUGGUGGCGGAUGCGACUAAUCCAAAUACUAUUACUCUAAAACUGAAAUAUAAUGCUAAUGACAUUGAAAUGAAGUCAGAUUAAAUAAUAUAUAUUAUUUUAGAUUAUUAGACCAGAUAUUUUCUUAUACGCUCACCUUUGAUGACAAAAAGUAGACCGUGGAACCAAGGGAUAUAGCAAAACUGGUUUUAAAAAAAAUUAUAGGUCCUAUAUUGCUGACAUUUUCUGAACCGUUUUUGCAAGGCAUAAAUCAUUUGUGAAACCUAUGCAGAGGUCUGUACCAAAAAACUAGGAGAUAC